GUGACCCCAGMUAUGGCGAGC
rnacentral:rRNA from 1 species